UACCUCAUUGACCGGAAGGAAUCCCUUCUGGCCAAUGAGGAUGUUAUACCUCAUUGACCGGAAGGGAUUCCUUCCGUCGAUGAGGUU
rnacentral:miRNA from 1 species